rnacentral:rRNA from 1 species
GAUGAACGCUGGCGGCGUGCCUAAUACAUGCAAGUCGAGCGAACAGACGAGGAGCUUGCUCCUCUGACGUUAGCGGCGGACGGGUGAGUAACACGUGGAUAACCUACCUAUAAGACUGGGAUAACUUCGGGAAACCGGAGCUAAUACCGGAUAAUAUAUUGAACCGCAUGGUUCAAUAGUGAAAGACGGUUUUGCUGUCACUUAUAGAUGGAUCCGCGCCGCAUUAGCUAGUUGGUAAGGUAACGGCUUACCAAGGCAACGAUGCGUAGCCGACCUGAGAGGGUGAUCGGCCACACUGGAACUGAGACACGGUCCAGACUCCUACGGGGGCAGCAGUAGGGAAUCUUCCGCAAUGGGCGAAAGCCUGACGGAGCAACGCCGCGUGAGUGAUGAAGGUCGUCGGAUCGUAAAACUCUGUUAUUAGGGAAGAACAAAUGUGUAAGUAACUAUGCACGUCUUGACGGUACCUAAUCAGAAAGCACGGCUAACUACGU